AGUGAAGCAUAAUCUGGGAUCUUAUUAAAAUAAGAUUCUGAUUCGACACAUUUGAGAUAAUGCCCAGAGUCUUCAGUCUUAACAAGUUCCCAGUUGGUGUCAAG
rnacentral:pre_miRNA from 1 species